rnacentral:rRNA from 1 species
AUACGGAGGGUGCAAGCGUUGUUCGGAUUUACUGGGCGUAAAGGGCGUGUAGGCGGAUAUGCAAGCUGGAGGUGAAAGCCCCGGGCUCAACCCGGGAAUUGCUUUGUAGAACUACAGAUCUAGAGAAAGUCAGAGGCAGGUGGAAUUCCAGGUGUAGAGGUGAAAUUCGUAGAGAUCUGGAGGAACACCGGCGGCGAAGGCGGCCUGCUGGGGCUUUUCUGACGCUGAGGCGCGAAAGCGUGGGGAGCAAACCGGAUUAGAAACCCCGGUAGUCC